UACUAGAGUAGCACUCGCAUAUCAAUAAGCGGAGGAAAAGAAACUAACAAGGAUUCCCCUAGUAACGGCGAGUGAAGCGGGAAGAGCUCAAAUUUGAAAUCUUAAAGGGUUUCCCUUUACGAAUUGUAGUUUAAAGAAGUGUUUUCUGUUGAGGUUUUGGUAAAAGUUCUUUGGAAUAGGACAUCAUAGAGGGUGAGAAUCCCGUAUUUGACCUUUACUUUCAACUUUGUGAUACACUUUCAAAGAGUCGGAUUGUUUGGGAAUGCAGUCCAAAAUGGGUGGUAAAUUUCAUCUAAAGCUAAAUAUUGGCGAGAGACCGAUAGCGAACAAGUACCGUGAGGGAAAGAUGAAAAGAACUUUGAAAAGAGAGUUAAACAGUACGUGAAAUUGUCAAAAGGGAAACGUUUGACACCAGUGUUGUUUUUCUGAAAAUCAAUUAAAGAACUGUUUAUGCUAAGCUGUUUAGACUUUAUCAGCUAACUGUUUAGUUUUGAGCUUUUCUUUAAUGCACUUUUCAGUUAACAAGUCAACAUCAAUUUCUUUUGCUGUAAAAAAGCUUGAGGAAGGUGGCUUGAGAUUCGUCUUAAGUGUUUAUAGCCUCUUGCCUAUGCAGUCGGAGAGAUUGAGGUCUGCAGCGUAGAUCCUUCGGGGCUAAAUGCAUUUGUGCUAAGUUAUAGCAUUUCAUAGACAACUUGUUGACUAUGAUUUGUCUUGUAGCUUACUCGCUUAUGUUAUUUUACCUACGCUUAGGAUGUUGAGUCAUCACACAUCUCU
rnacentral:rRNA from 1 species